rnacentral:rRNA from 1 species
AGCGUACACGGUGGAUGCCCUGGCAGUCAGAGGCGAUGAAGGACGUGCUAAUCUGCGAUAAGCGUCGGUGAGGUGAUAUGAACCGUUAUAACCGGCGAUUUCCGAAUGGGGAAACCCAGUGUGUUUCGACACACUAUCAUUAACUGAAUCCAUAGGUUAAUGAGGCGAACCGGGGGAACUGAAACAUCUAAGUACCCCGAGGAAAAGAAAUCAACCGAGAUUCCCCCAGUAGCGGCGAGCGAACGGGGAGGAGCCCAGAGCCUGAAUCAGUGUGUGUGUUAGUGGAAGCGUCUGGAAAGGCGUGCGAUACAGGGUGACAGCCCCGUACACAAAAAUGCACAUACUGUGAGCUCGAUGAGUAGGGCGGGACACGUGGUAUCCUGUCUGAAUAUGGGGGGACCAUCCUCCAAGGCUAAAUACUCCUGACUGACCGAUAGUGAACCAGUACCGUGAGGGAAAGGCGAAAAGAACCCCGGCGAGGGGAGUGAAAAAGAACCUGAAACCGUGUACGUACAAGCAGUGGGAGCCUCUUAAUGGGGUGACUGCGUACCUUUUGUAUAAUGGGUCAGCGACUUAUAUUCUGUAGCAAGGUUAACCGAAUAGGGGAGCCGAAGGGAAACCGAGUCUUAACUGGGCGUUAAGUUGCAGGGUAUAGACCCGAAACCCGGUGAUCUAGCCAUGGGCAGGUUGAAGGUUGGGUAACACUAACUGGAGGACCGAACCGACUAAUGUUGAAAAAUUAGCGGAUGACUUGUGGCUGGGGGUGAAAGGCCAAUCAAACCGGGAGAUAGCUGGUUCUCCCCGAAAGCUAUUUAGGUAGCGCCUCGUGAAUUCAUCUCCGGGGGUAGAGCACUGUUUCGGCAAGGGGGUCAUCCCGACUUACCAACCCGAUGCAAACUGCGAAUACCGGAGAAUGUUAUCACGGGAGACACACGGCGGGUGCUAACGUCCGUCGUGAAGAGGGAAACAACCCAGACCGCCAGCUAAGGUCCCAAAGUCAUGGUUAAGUGGGAAACGAUGUGGGAAGGCCCAGACAGCCAGGAUGUUGGCUUAGAAGCAGCCAUCAUUUAAAGAAAGCGUAAUAGCUCACUGGUCGAGUCGGCCUGCGCGGAAGAUGUAACGGGGCUAAACCAUGCACCGAAGCUGCGGCAGCGACACUAUGUGUUGUUGGGUAGGGGAGCGUUCUGUAAGCCUGUGAAGGUGUGCUGUGAGGCAUGCUGGAGGUAUCAGAAGUGCGAAUGCUGACAUAAGUAACGAUAAAGCGGGUGAAAAGCCCGCUCGCCGGAAGACCAAGGGUUCCUGUCCAACGUUAAUCGGGGCAGGGUGAGUCGACCCCUAAGGCGAGGCCGAAAGGCGUAGUCGAUGGGAAACAGGUUAAUAUUCCUGUACUUGGUGUUACUGCGAAGGGGGGACGGAGAAGGCUAUGUUGGCCGGGCGACGGUUGUCCCGGUUUAAGCGUGUAGGCUGGUUUUCCAGGCAAAUCCGGAAAACCAAGGCUGAGGCGUGAUGACGAGGCACUACGGUGCUGAAGCGACAAAUGCCCUGCUUCCAGGAAAAGCCUCUAAGCAUCAGGUAACAUCAAAUCGUACCCCAAACCGACACAGGUGGUCAGGUAGAGAAUACCAAGGCGCUUGAGAGAACUCGGGUGAAGGAACUAGGCAAAAUGGUGCCGUAACUUCGGGAGAAGGCACGCUGAUAUGUAGGUGAAGCGACUUGCUCGUGGAGCUGAAAUCAGUCGAAGAUACCAGCUGGCUGCAACUGUUUAUUAAAAACACAGCACUGUGCAAACACGAAAGUGGACGUAUACGGUGUGACGCCUGCCCGGUGCCGGAAGGUUAAUUGAUGGGGUUAGCGGUAACGCGAAGCUCUUGAUCGAAGCCCCGGUAAACGGCGGCCGUAACUAUAACGGUCCUAAGGUAGCGAAAUUCCUUGUCGGGUAAGUUCCGACCUGCACGAAUGGCGUAAUGAUGGCCAGGCUGUCUCCACCCGAGACUCAGUGAAAUUGAACUCGCUGUGAAGAUGCAGUGUACCCGCGGCAAGACGGAAAGACCCCGUGAACCUUUACUAUAGCUUGACACUGAACAUUGAGCCUUGAUGUGUAGGAUAGGUGGGAGGCUUUGAAGUGUGGACGCCAGUCUGCAUGGAGCCGACCUUGAAAUACCACCCUUUAAUGUUUGAUGUUCUAACGUUGGCCCGUAAUCCGGGUUGCGGACAGUGUCUGGUGGGUAGUUUGACUGGGGCGGUCUCCUCCUAAAGAGUAACGGAGGAGCACGAAGGUUGGCUAAUCCUGGUCGGACAUCAGGAGGUUAGUGCAAUGGCAUAAGCCAGCUUGACUGCGAGCGUGACGGCGCGAGCAGGUGCGAAAGCAGGUCAUAGUGAUCCGGUGGUUCUGAAUGGAAGGGCCAUCGCUCAACGGAUAAAAGGUACUCCGGGGAUAACAGGCUGAUACCGCCCAAGAGUUCAUAUCGACGGCGGUGUUUGGCACCUCGAUGUCGGCUCAUCACAUCCUGGGGCUGAAGUAGGUCCCAAGGGUAUGGCUGUUCGCCAUUUAAAGUGGUACGCGAGCUGGGUUUAGAACGUCGUGAGACAGUUCGGUCCCUAUCUGCCGUGGGCGCUGGAGAACUGAGGGGGGCUGCUCCUAGUACGAGAGGACCGGAGUGGACGCAUCACUGGUGUUCGGGUUGUCAUGCCAAUGGCACUGCCCGGUAGCUAAAUGCGGAAGAGAUAAGUGCUGAAAGCAUCUAAGCACGAAACUUGCCCCGAGAUGAGUUCU